rnacentral:lncRNA from 10 species
UAUACCGCUUCUACUUUGGGUCUGUUGACUUUUUUGGAUCUCUGGAUUGACAGUUUUUAUCAAAUUUAGAAAGUACUUGACCAUCUUUCAAAUAUUUUUGCUCACCUAUCUUUUGCUAGGAUUUCAUUUGCAUAUACGUUAGACCACUUGAUAUUGCCCCUUGGCUCAAUUCACUUAUAUUUGGUCUUUUUUCUGUAUACUUCAUUUUGCAUAGUUUCUAUUGUUCUUACCCAAGUUCACUGAUUGUUUCCUCUGCAAUGUUUAAUGGGCUCUUAAUCCCAUCCGGUUAUUUUUCAUUUAAUAAAUUAUAUUUUUAUCUCUAAAAAUUUUAUUAACAUAUUUUAUGUCUUCCAUUUCUCUCCUCCUUAUGUUCACAUUUUCCUUUAAUUCACUUGUGUAUUUUUUAAAUUUAUAGUAGCUGUUUUAAUGUUUUUGCUCGCCAAUUACAUCACUUCUGUCGUUUCUUGUCCCAUUUCUAUUGACUAAUUUUUAUCCUAGUUAUGGAUCAUAUUUUCUGCUUCUUUGCAGGCUGAGCCAUUUUUUGUUAGAUGCUGGACAUUGUGAACUUUACAUUGUGAAGUACUGAAUUUUUGUAUCCUUUUAAAGAGUUUUGAUUUUUGUUCUGAUGUUCACUUUAAUACACCUGAGGAUUAGUUUGAACCAUUUGAGGCUUUGUAUUAAGCUUGUUAUGGUGGGUCCAGAGAAGACUUUACUUGGCUGUUUGUCCACACUCCUAAGGCCUGACUCUUCUGAGGGCUGUACCUGAUGCCCUGUCUAUGACAAGGCCUCUCCAAUCCAACUGGUGGGAACACAAAUUAUUCUCUGUAUGAAUGCUGGUAAUUAUUUUGCUCAUUCUUUUCCGGUGUCUACUUCCAAAAUUCCUUUCAGUCGCGUGCAAAUCAGUACUUAGUCAAAUAUUUUAUGAAACCCCUCUACAGUUCUGCAGAAGUCUGUCUCUACUCAAUGCCCUACCCUCUAGUUCUCUGUCUCACAAUUCUAGCAGCCUAAUCUCCCCGAACUGUGAUUUCUGUCUUCAUGAGUUUUUUGUAAUAUUCCUUUAAAGUUAUUGUAGUAUUCCUAUGGAGUAUGCAACUUUAUUCUGGAAGGUAAUUAAGUGACUUUUGGAUCAACUUCAUCUUUUCAAGGUUUGAUUUUACGUGUUUUAAGAGCAUCAUAAGGGGUCCUAUUGGGGAAGAGAAGAAUCGUUGAGUUUCAGCCAAGCUUUAUCUCCUUAUUGAAUCAUAAAAAAUAAUACAGCUGGCCUGGCGCAGUGGCUUAUGCCUAUAAUCCCAGCACUUUGGGAGGCCGAAGCGGGUGGAUCACUUGAGGUCAGGAGUUUGAGACCAGCCUGGCCCACAUGGUAAAACGCUGUUUCUACUAAAAAUACAAAAAUUACCCAGGUGUGAUGGCGGGGGCCUGUAAUCCCAGCUACUUGAGGGGCUGAAGCAGGAGAAUUGCUUGAACCCAGGAGGUGGAGGUUGCAGUGAGCUGAGAUCGUGCCACUGCACUCCAGCCAGAGCAACAGAACGAGACUCCGUCUCAAAAAAUAAUAAUAAUAUAGCUCAUAAAAUCUAUGCCUGGAGAGAUUUUCGUGUUUGCUGCUGUAAAAGUGACAACAAAUAAUAUACCCAUUAUUAAUAAAUGGUUUUCAGUUAUUUAUUGAUUUAACAAACUAUUUUUUAAUGCCUACAAUGUGCCAGGCACUAUAGUAGGCACUGGACAUACAAAUAUAGA